rnacentral:rRNA from 1 species
CUGGCGGUGUGCCUCAUACAUGCAAGUCGAACGAUAAGGCUCUCGGAAGUACAUAAGUGGCGGACGGGUGAGUACAACAUAGGAAAUCUGCCUUAGGGUGGGGGGACAACAGAGGGAAACUCCUGCUAAUACCCCAUAUGAGCUAACUUGAAAUAGUUAUCUUGAAAACUCCGGUGCCCUAAGAUGAGCCUGUGCCUGAUUAGCUGGUUGGUGGUGUAAUGGACUACCAAGGCGACGAUCAGUAGCUGGUUUGAGAGGAUGAUCAGCCACAAUGGGACUGAGACACGGCCCAUACUCCUACGGGAGGCAGCAGUAGGGAAUUUUGCGCAAUGGGGGAAACCCUGACGCAGCAACACCGCGUGAAUGUUAAGCCCUUCGGGGUGUAAAGUUCUGUCAGUAGGGAAGAACAAAUGACUGUACCUACAAAGGAAGCACCGGCUAACUCCGUGCCAGCCGCCGC